UGCCGGCUCCCUCCUCAUCUCCGCCUUCCUCCGAGGCGGCGACCGCUCCCUCCUAUCCUCGUUCUUACCAGCGGUGACCGGACCCAACUCCGAUGGCCUCACAUCCACCGUCCUCCACUACGCCACAUCAUCGAUCACCCCCAGCCGUCCCGUUCAGAGAUCAACCUAUCAGCAUCCGCCGCCAAAAUAAAAAAGGUGCCUUUUUUGCCCCUAAAAACUUCUCUUUGGUUCUGUCCUUAAAGUGGGAGAAGAGGCGGAGUAGGAUAAUAGAAUGCUGUCCUCGAGUACAUCGAGUUGAAGGAGAAGCUAUUGAAGAGCUGGAGGAAUUCUCCAGAAGCCGUGGUCUCAAAACAUCAAGCUUUUCUUGAGGAGUGUGAUAUACAUGGUCGCAUAUAUGUGAAUGAGCAGGGGAUUAAUGCUCAGCUUCAGAUAUUACUGAAGGAAAUAGGAGAUGUGCAUGGAGGGAACAAGGUGUGUGAAAACAAGAAGAGUUGCUCACUUUGUGGAACAACUGCUUUCGUCACUGGAGGAAACAAAGGAAUUGGGAUCAAGGAGGAAGAAACAUGAUGCUUCAAUAAUUUGGAAAAAUAAAUGCAAUUGGAUUCUAUAAAUUAUGCAAAGUUCAUCAAGUUAUGUAAACAAUUGUAUUCUUUAUAAUCUAUGUAAAAAAUUUAUGUAUCUUUCUAGUAUUUUGGUGAA